rnacentral:pre_miRNA from 1 species
AAUAGAUGAUACUGUUGACUUUUUGUUGCACGUUUGACCAUUCGUCUUAUUCAAAAAAUGUACGUAAUUAUAAUUUAUUUUGUUACGAGUUGUUUUAUCACUCAAAAUACUUUAAGCAUGAUUUAUAUCUGGCAUUUGCAAAAAAAAAUUGAAUGAGACGAAUGGUCAAAUGUGCGACAAAAAGUCAACGGCGUCAUCUAUU